rnacentral:rRNA from 1 species
GACGAACGCUGGCGGCGUGCUUAACACAUGCAAGUCGAGCGGGGAUAGUAAGAAGCUUGCUUUGAACUAUUCUAGCGGCGGACGGGUGAGUAACGCGUGAGCAACCUUUCCUCUACUGGGGAAUAACACAGGGAAACUUGUACUAAUACCGCAUAAGACCACGCUACCGCAUGGUAGAGGGGUCAAAGAUUUAUCGGUAGAGGGUGGGCUCGCGUCCGAUUAGGUAGUUGGUGAGGUAACGGCCCACCAAGCCGACGAUCGGUAGCCGACCUGAGAGGGUGAUCGGCCACAUUGGGACUGAGAUACGGCCCAGACUCCUACGGGAGGCAGCAGUGGGGAAUAUUGGGCAAUGGGGGAAACCCUGACCCAGCAACGCCGCGUGAAGGAAGAAGGCCUUCGGUGUAAACGUUACUUUUAGUUAGGGUACGAA